rnacentral:rRNA from 1 species
UGGGGAAUAUUGCACAAUGGGCGCAAGCCUGAUGCAGCGACGCCGCGUGAGGGAUGACGGCCUUCGGGUUGUAAACCUCUUCCAAUAGGGACGAAGCGCAAGUGACGGUACCUAUAGAAGAAGGACCGGCCAACUACGUGCCAGCAGCCGCGGUAAUACGUAGGGUCCGAGCGUUGCCCGGAAUUACUGGGCGUAAAGAGCUCGUAGGUGGUUUGUCGCGUUGUUCGUGAAAACUCACAGCUUAACUGUGGGCGUGCGGGCGAUACGGGCAGACUAGAGUACUGCAGGGGAGACUGGAAUUCCUGGUGUAGCGGUGGAAUGCGCAGAUAUCAGGAGGAACACCGGUGGCGAAGGCGGGUCUCUGGGCAGUAACUGACGCUGAGGAGCGAAAGCGUGGGGAGCGAACAGGAUUAGAUACCCUGGUAGUCCACGCCGUAAACGGUGGGUACUAGGUGUGGGUUUGCCUUCCUUGGGAUCCGUGCCGUAGCUAACGCAUUAAGUACCCCGCCUGGGGAGUACGGCCGCAAGGCUAAAACUCAAAGG